GGCACGGCUGAGCGGUCCGCCUUCUGGUGAGAACUGCUCGGCUGGGCCUUUCCUUGUGGGGAACUAGUCUGCCCUUUAACCGGUGGGCUAGGGAUCCACAACUUUUACUUUGAAAAAAUUAGAGUGUUUAAAGCAGGCUCACGCUUGAAUACAUUAGCAUGGAAUAACGAAAUAGGACGU
rnacentral:rRNA from 1 species